UUGGAAUAAUUCAACAAGUUUCUUCAGAAAGAAGGAAAGGAUGACCUGUUGAAAAAAUCUUUGGCAGUAUAUGUCAAGUUUUGACACGGUCGAGAAGUACUCAGCAUUCAAAAAACAGAAAGCCCAAGUUGCUAAAAGCCCAGUUUGCUCCUUUAAUGAAUGGGAUCCUUUAGAAGAAGUGAUCGUCAGACGAGUUAAGAACGCCACUGUUCCAGAAUUAAUGCCAGAAAUCCAGGCUGUCGUCUCCGAAAAAAGUUGGAAUUUUUUUAAAGAGAACACAUGAGGAAGACUUCGUUAGAGAUUGCGGAGUUUUGCCGAAUUUUUGAACAUGAAAGAGUGAAGGUUCGACGACCCUAUGUACUUGAUCAUUUGAAAUCGUAUUCCUCGCCUGAUU